AAAAUAUUUAACAUUCUGAAAACUCUAAAUGAUCAGUAUGACUGAAUUGCAAAAGAAUUUAGUUCAUGAAUAAAUUGUGUGAUGCAGUUAUUUUGAAUUAAUAACAUGUGCAGCUUUUUAUAAUGAAUAGAUUACAUUUUGUUGUACUGUUUUAUUACCCGCUGACUACGGGUACUAAUCCGUUAGUAUGUACAACAUCCGUUCAAUGUCCAGCCGGUAACUCCUGCAAGGAUGGCACAUGUACACCCUUCACUGGAGUGUACAGAAACAGUUGUAAUAAACCAGCUGACUGUCCACUAGAGUACGAUUGUGAUGUAAAUAUCAACAUGUGCGUAGUAGAAAUCUGCAUACAAGAUGAAGACUGCCCCAACCUGGGCCCUGGAAGCUAUGCAAUAUGUAAUGCUGGACAGUGUGCAGUUGGGAAUGUGCAAAACGCCUCUCAAGACCGUUCUGAGCUUCUUCAGGCAAUCAAAACACUUCUAAAGGGAUAUAUAGAAGAAAAUAAACGUUGAAAAGGAACAAGAAACAAUUGUUUCUUGAAAAAUGAUGCAGAACGGUUUGUUUAAAAACUGUUUGGUUUAAAUAAAAAUAAAUAUCUUCAAUUUAC